rnacentral:rRNA from 1 species
UACUAGCGGUCCAAGUCGCAGCCAUAUUUAUUGGGUCUAAAACAUCCGUAGCUUGCUUGGUAAGUUUUCUGUGAAAUUCUAUCUCUCAAGGGUAGAGCGUGCAGAAAGUACUGCCAAGCUAGAGACUGGAAGACGUGAGAAGUACGUUCGAAGUAGCGGUUAAAUGUGUUAAUCUCGAACGGACUCACAAUAGCGAAGGCAUCUCACGAGGACAGUUCUGACAGUAAGGGAUGAAGGCUAGGGGCGCAAAACGGAUUAGAUACCCCCGUA